GUUGCUGGCCCUUUCGGGGGCAUGUGCACACCCACCAUCCUCAUCUCUCCACCUGUGCACCUCUUGUAGACCUGAAUUGASUUUCCGAGGCAACUCGGUCGGGAAGAUUGCUGUGCUCUGUGAGCCAGCUUUCUUUGCAUGUCUAGGCCUAUGUUUUUCAUAUACCCCUAUAGAAUGUAACAGAAUGUAUCAUUGGGCCUUGUGCCUAUAAACCUUAUACAACUUUCAGCAACGGAUCUCUUGGCUCUCGCAUCGAUGAAGAACGCAGCGAAAUGCGAUAAGUAAUGUGAAUUGCAGAAUUCAGUGAAUCAUCGAAUCUUUGAACGCACCUUGCGCUCCUUGGUAUUCCGAGGAGCAUGCCUGUUUGAGUGUCAUUAAAUUCUCAACCUUAUUAACUUUUGUUGAUAAUGGAUUGGAUUGUGGGGGUUUCUUUUGCUGGAUUCUUCACAGAGAUCAGCUCCCCUUAAAUGCAUUAGCUGGUGCCCCGCGUGGACCAUCUAUUGGUGUGAUAAUUAUCUACGCCGUGGAUGUCUGCAAUCAUAUGGGUUUUGCACUGCUUCUAACCGUCUGUUCAUUCRGACAAUACAUGACAAUUUGACCUCAAAUCAGGUAGGACUACCCGCUGAACUUAAGCAUAUCAAUAAGCGGAGGAAAAGAAACUAACAAGGAUUCCCCCUARUAACUGCGAGUGAAGCGGGAAAAGCUCAAAUUUAAAAUCUGGCGGUCUCCGGCCGUCCGAGUUGUAAUCUAGARAAGUGUUAUCCGCGCUGGACCGUGUAMAAGUCA
rnacentral:rRNA from 2 species